AAUAACUUGCAUACAUCAUCGUUUGUAUUAGCUAUCUGCUUAUGGUUUACCGUUUUGUUUUAGGAAGAACAGUGUGACGUUUUUAAGAAGCUGAAGCGAAUGUUACAUCCUAACGUUACCAUUAGCUACGCGGUUAAGCUACGCUAACUUAGCUAGCUAGCUAGGCCUUUUAUUUGAACCGCGUUACUGUUUGUUUGCAGCGUUAAAGAAAAUAGUUAUUGGUAGCCAACCAUUCAGUUUCUUUAAAUGUCACAUAGGCCAGUUUACUUAUUUUUUUUUACAUUUGAGUUUUACACGACGGGUUGGACAACCGAUAUUGACCACGUUUUGUGCACAUGGCUAUGGCUAACCUGAUAGGUUUGCAUGGUUUGUCGUUGUACUUAGGCAUUGCUGCUAAGCUAACUCUAAUGAAGUCUUCACAUUACAGCGAGAUGAGACUGGUCGGUGCUACCUGUUGAUCAGAAAUGAGAACAGAAGGUAAACACAAGCCCUUGCAGGCACGAUGGUGUCCCCAACACAGGCGGAAGGUCAGCGUUGCAUGUUAAAAGUCGGACGGGUGAUGGGUGUGAGAGUGAUGAGUUGCACUAAUCAGUUGGGGUGUUUGUUGCAGUGGCAUCAAUACCCCAAUCCGACCCAACCUGAGGACACACUGUGUGCACAGGGGCCAUCUGACUCAACCCUUCCACCUUUUGUAAAAGUGUGUGUUGUGCACACCAUAGCAUUAUUUUUUCUUUUUUAAUCAGGCUCUGCUAAAUAAAUACAUGAUAUUCUAAUAAGUAAUGUUCCACUGUUUCUGAAGACUUUAGUGUGUUUGAGGGAUUCAAUUGGAUAGCUGAAUAACCAUCCCUGAACACUGUUCAAACGUAAGGUGUAUUUUCCAGAAUUUGUUUUAAUACUUCCUGUCCCCAUGUUAUUUGUUUCAGUCUACCAUCUGGAAGUGGAAGGAUGCUGUGCUGUAGAGUUUCUCAAGCUUCUCUCUCUCCCUCCCUCAAGCAGGACUAUUGGCUCACUGUCCUGGAGGCCAGCUCCUUCAUUGCUCCAGACUGAAGAUGAGAGAGUUGAAGGAUGUGGUUAGGCAGGAUGUUUUAGCCAUUGUGAAGGUGAUGCCCAAAAUGGAUCCUGCCAGCAAAGGUUUUCCCUUCAUAAUCGGUGGAACGACUCCAACCUGAGAGCUGCAGACUCAUGCACAGAAACCCUGCCAGGCCCACAGCAGCAGCCACUGGUACAGUCGCAGGUCACAACCAAAGUUCAGCCUGGGCCUCCACCUGCUGCACAUGUUGCCUGAGCUGCAGCAGUACAACCUGAAUUGACCUGACACAUUUCAAGCAGAUGGAUGAGAUGUUGGACCAGGAUGGCACGUCUGAAGUGAUGUUCAGCGUCAGCCGUGUUGCAGCUGCAUGUCAUUCCCAGCACGGACGCUGCUGUCCACUGUGUACCUUGGGAACACCGCUGUAUUGUGGGCUUAUUGCUGGUGAGCAAUGCAGAGGGAAGUCCGGUUUUGCUACAUUAAUCUUCAAACGAAUUUAGGCAUUAAUGUCCUCGCCACAAAAAACAUGUUCCAGACACAUACUGCAAAUAUGCACCAACACUAUCGCAUGUAUUUCUAAUAGUCCUUGUCAUAGCAUCCGGCUGUUCAGUAAACCCUUUGAGUCAGAGCAGUUGCGUACAUCACAGGAAUGACUUGACUGAAGCUGUUUUGCAGAGGUGACUGCAAUGGGUUUGACAAUGCCGGUGGAUUCCUCCUAGAGGGGAUUUCAGUUUUUGUGAUUGCUUUGCAUCAUCAGAGGCCGCAGCUCAUCUUAAAUAUCUGCAUGUUCUCUGUGAGGUUCUGUCAGCCAGCAGUGAGCCUCAGGCUUGGUAAUGUGUGCGUUUGGUCAAAGGUUGGUGGCUAAGCAAUGUGACAUGAAAUUCGUAUCGUGAUAGUCAUAACCCUAAAUCCCUGUAAACAAGAUUGUCUUUUGCAGAAAUGUAACCCUACGUCACCUUGUGUUGGCCAAUCACGUAACCGGCGGUCAGACUUGGCAGUCGGUUUUUAAGCCAGUGUGUGUCCGGUACAGUAAACCUCCCUGCCUCUAUCGCUGCCACCAGAACGUUUUUAACACGGAGGGUAAAAAAAAACGAACCGCAAGCUCUUAACUCACCAGGAGUUUGUGCAACGAGCUCCAGCACAAAGCAGUCCCUCGCUCUCUUCUUUCUCCUUGAAAUGAAGCUGCCUUCAAGUGCGGUUGGAAAUUUCGAUCUGUAAACGAUCUGACGGAAAACGAUAAUUGUGAAAUAUAAACUCUACUUGUGCUUCAUUGGAGGGUUAAAGCACACAAAUGGGUCAUUUAAGCCAGAGUGCCUUUUCUGAUCUGAAUGAUCCCUAAGAUAUGUCAAUUGCUUGUAAAGCACUUUGAAGUGAAUUUGAUUUCUUUCAAUUCAAUCAAUGAUGACCAAUCAGUGAUGUAUGAGUGGAAAUAUAACUGAAAUGUUGGGUCUCUGUAAAUUAUAGUGUGGUCUAGACCUACUCUAUCUGUAAAGUGUCCUGAGAUGACUCAUGUAAUGAUUUGACACUAUAAAUAAAAUGAAUACCUGGUGUCUCCUCAGGUGUCUGAGAAGAAA